UGUGUCUCGGGCAUUUAGAUGUCCUAUUUGGAUUGUAACGUUUGUAUCUCGCGCAAUUAUUAUUUAGGUCGUUACGUUUGUAUCUUGCGCAAUAUUAUCUGAUUCCUUUUUUGGAUUGUUACGUAAGUAUCUUGCGCAAUUUUAGCAGUUGUUAUGUUUGUAUCCUGCGGAACUUAUGAGCUGUCAUCUUAUCUGGAUUGUUACGUUUGCUUCUCGCGCAGCUUGAGCUGUUUUCUUAUCUGGAUUGUUACGUUUGUAUCUUGCGAAACUUUAGAUGUCUUCUUAUUUGGAUUGUAACGUUUGUAUUUCGCGCAAUUAUUAUUUAGAUCAUUACGUUUGUAUCUCGCGCAAAUUUAGCCGUCGUCUUAUUUGGAUUGUAGCCUUUGUAUCUUGCAGAAAUUUAUCGGUCUUCUUAAUUGGAUUGUAGCCUUUGUAUCGCGCAAUUUUAGCUUUUUAGUAUCUCUUGUAAGUUGUCUUAUUUGCAUUGUUACGUUUGUAUCUCGCGCAAUUUAAGCUGUCUUCUUAUUUGGAUUGUUAAGUUUGUAUCUUGCGCAACCUUAGCUGUCUUCUUAGUUAGACUGUAACGUUAGUAUCUUGCCCAAAUUUAGCUGUCUUUUUAUAUGGAUUGUUAAGUGUGUAUCUCGCACAACUUAAGCUGUCUUUUUCUUUUGAUCGUUAUGUUUGCAUCUCGCGCAAUUUGACAUUUUCUCUUAUUUGGAUUGUUACGUUAGUUUAUCGCGCAUUUAUAGCUGUUCUCAAGUCUCAUUUUGAUUGUUACGUUAAUAUCUCGCGCAAUUUUAGCUCUUCACUUUUUUCGAUUGUUACUUUAGUAUCUCGUGUAACUCAAGCUGUCCUUUUUGUUGUUAUUUUUCUUGGUCUUAGGCGUACUGUGUUUCUUUGGGAUUUUUCUUUUCAAGAAGUCAAAGUUAUUUUGAGUGAGUUGCUGAGGAUGUGUCAGACUUACUCCAGAGCUCUUCUUUAUCUACUUUCUUUAUCCCAGGUUUUUCCAGUGAAACUAUCUUUCUCUCACAUUCCAACAAUCACGUGUACUUUCGGUCGAGGAUGAAAUGGCUAACGAUGCGAAAUCUCUGCGUAAUUUUGCUGUGAGGAAAACAGCUAUUGUUGGCAAUUUUUCGUCCAAACUCAUCUUUGGUCAUAGCAUGGUACGUUUUCUUCAACUUGGGCAGAAUAAGCGCUGUGGUAGAACAGGACGAAAGACAAAAGGAAGCACGCUCAACUUCCAACUGUUACCUUUGUUGGAGACCUCUUCCAGAAAGCUUGUUGAAUGGCGGAUAACUGAAGUCACAAUCAGUUACCAAUACUUCAGGAUAAAGGUCCUGCAGCCCAAAGACAAGUUCAAUGCAGAGGUAGAAAAUAAAUUUUAACAGAACUCAAUUGCGUCAAGAUUGAUCAUUUGAUUUUGGGAAGAUUUAGUUUCCUUAUCGACCUAAAACAUCUUUUCUGCUUGUUAGCAUCAGGUGUUUCGAAUUCAAGACAAGAUUUGCUUAGUAACUGCCCUCCAUUUUUUUUUCAUUUAAGAAUUCAGGUGACAUCCCUCAAAAAAUGUUUUUAAUUUUCCCGCCAAAAAACUUAGAAAAUACGGGGUGCUUAAAAUACGCAUGCGCCAGACUUUUUUUCUUUUUUUUGGAAGAGCUGUAAGUAACAUCCGGUUAAAAUGGCGUAAUUUUCCCGCCAAAAAACUUAGAAAAAUACAGGCGCCCAAAAUACGCCUGCGCCGAUUUUUUUUUUUUAUCAAAGGUGUGUUUAAGACUCCAUAUCUUAUUACUUUUAUAUUUCUAUGUUGUUAUUAAAUAAAGUCAAUAAACUCGA
rnacentral:misc_RNA from 1 species